rnacentral:rRNA from 1 species
GGAGGUUACUGCUAUCGGUGUUCGCCUAACCCAUGCGAGUCAUAUGUUCUUCGUGAACAUGGCGUACUGCUCAGUAACACGUGAAUAACCUGCCCUUGGGACCGGCAUAACCCCGGGAAACUGGGGAUAAUUCCGGAUACCGCAUAUAUGCUGGAAUGCUUUAUGCGUGAAAUGGAUUCGUCUGCCCAAGGAUGGGUCUGCGGCCUAUCAGGUAGUAGUGGGUGUAAUGUACCUACUACCCUACAACGGGUACGGGUUGUGAAAGCAAAAGCCCGGAAAUGGAUUCUGAAACAUGAAUCCAGGCCCUACGGGGCGCAGCAGGCGCGAAAACUUUACAAUGCGGGAAACCGUGAUAAGGGGACACCGAGUGCCACCAACAUUUGUUGGCUGUCCAGGUGUGUAAACUACACCUGUUAGCAAGGGCCGGGCAAGACCGGUGC